UAACUGAAGAGUUUGAUCAUGGCUCAGAUUGAACGCUGGCGGCAGGCUUAACACAUGCAAGUCGAGCGGGGGAAGGUAGCUUGCUACUGGACCUAGCGGCGGACGGGUGAGUAAUGCUUAGGAAUCUGCCUAUUAG
rnacentral:rRNA from 1 species